CGCCAUAUCACGUUGAAGCACCGGGUCCUGUAUGAUCACCGAAGUUAAGCAACAUCGGGUUUGGUCAGUACCUAGAUUGGUGACCGCUUGGGAAUACCAUGUGCU